rnacentral:rRNA from 1 species
CCUACGGGGGGCUGCAGUGGGGAAUAUUGGACAAUGGGGGCAACCCUGAUCCAGCCAUGCCGCGUGUGUGAAGAAGGCCCUCGGGUUGUAAAGCACUUUCAGUGAGGAAGAACGCCUGGUGGUUAAUACCCAUCAGGAAAGACAUCACUCACAGAAGAAGCACCGGCUAACUCCGUGCCAGCAGCCGCGGUAAUACGGAGGGUGCGAGCGUUAAUCGGAAUUACUGGGCGUAAAGCGCGCGUAGGUGGCUUGAUAAGCCGGUUGUGAAAGCCCCGGGCUCAACCUGGGAACGGCAUCCGGAACUGUCAAGCUAGAGUGCAGGAGAGGAAGGUAGAAUUCCCGGUGUAGCGGUGAAAUGCGUAGAGAUCGGGAGGAAUACCAGUGGCGAGGGCGGCCUUCUGGACUGACACUGACACUGAGGUGCGAAAGCGUGGGUAGCAAACAGGAUUAGAUACCCGAGUAGUC